GUCGAACGCGAAAGUGGAGCAAUCCAUGAGUAGAGUGGCGAACGGGUGAGUAACACGUGGGUGACCUGCCUUCGAGUGGGGGAUAACAUCCCGAAAGGGGUGCUAAUACUGCAUGACAUCCUGCCUUUGAACAGGCGGACAUUAAAGCCGGGGAUCGCAAGACCUGGCGCUCGGAGAGGGGCCCGCGUCCGAUUAGCUAGUUGGUGGGGUAACGGCUCACCAAGGCAACGAUCGGUAGCCGGCCUGAGAGGGCGGACGGCCACACUGGGACUGAGACACGGCCCAGACUCCUACGGGAGGCAGCAGUGGGGAAUUGUUCGCAAUGGGCGCAAGCCUGACGACGCAACGCCGCGUGGAGGAUGAAGAUCUUCGGGUCGUAAACUCCUUUCGAUCGGGACGAAUGAUCGGUGACCUAAUACGUCAUCGGAAUGACGGUACCGAGAGAAGAAGCCCCGGCUAACUCCGUGCCAGCAGCCGCGGUAAUACGGGGGGGGCAAGCGUUGUUCGGAAUUACUGGACGUAAAGGGCGCGUAGGCGGCCUUCUAAGUCGGACGUGAAAUCCCUCGGCUUAACCGAGGAACUGCGUCCGAUACUGAAAGGCUUGAAUCCGGGAGAGGGAUGUGGAAUUCCAGGUGUAGCGGUGAAAUGCGUAGAUAUCUGGAGGAACACCGGUGGCGAAGGCGGCAUCCUGGACCGGCAUUGACGCUGAGGCGCGAAAGCUAGGGGAGCAAACGGGAUUAGAUACCCCGGUAGUCCUAGCCCUAAACGAUGAGUGCUUGGUGUGGCGGGUAUCGAUCCCUGCCGUGCCGAAGCUAACGCAUUAAGCACUCCGCCU
rnacentral:rRNA from 1 species